rnacentral:lncRNA from 1 species
GUUGUUGUCCAUUCGUUUGAUGUGUUUUGUCAUUUCAUUUUGCCAUGAGAUAAGGGACUUUCCGAUUGAAUUUUCUUCGGAGUUCAGUAUUUUUGGGAUUUUACUUUUUGUUGGUACACUUAUUAGUUAUUGGAACUGGAAAUUGACUUUUGGAUUCCAAUUUUUAUAGAUAAUGGCUUUACUCUAUGAAAGCUUUUCUUUAAAGGGGCACUUGCUACAAGAUAUAAAAAAAUCUAAAGUAUGAUUGUUUUGGUUCAAUAAUCAAUGAAAGUGAAAUAGUGAAAUACAAAUUCGCUUCUAGCAGCCAGUUUGUUUAAAUUUUGUCGAACUAAUAUAAGAAACAUUGCUGAUGAAUUAUUCACUUGCAAGUGAAUAAUUUGACCUAUGAAUCCGUAUACAUAUGAACGUCAAUUAAACCCCUGAACUAGAGAUGAACAACGGAUGAAUUGUGCGUGCUAUGUUAGUUAAAGGAAAAGAAUGUCAACAUUGAAAGUCGAAUAAAGGUAAAUCAUUUGAUUUACUGAUACGAACCACAAAAAAAUCUUUGUUAUUUAGGUAAAAACGAUGAUUAACAUAUAUUUUCUAUCUAUAACAUGAAAUUAUACAGACAUAAUUAAGCGAGUUUGCUUUCUUUUUUAUAUCUCUAAUAAUGUUUAUAUAACUAUCGAACGUCUUCGGAGGUCAACUCGAUAGUGAAAUGGCGUCAAGACUAAAAUACACACGUAACAAGGCUACAUAUUAUCGAGCCCAUGCCCUUUAUGUUUAGUUCAGACUUUUUUAUAAUUUGAAUAAAUGUUUAACAUGGUUAUAAAUCAAAUAUGAGAAUUUGAGUCAAAUAUAUGAACAUGAAUUUGACAGCUAGUGCCCAUCUAAUAGUAUUUAAAGAAAUGGUUUUAUAUUUGGUAGAUUAAUUUUACUCAAAUAAUUCUUUGCUAAAUUAUCAGUUCUUAUUCAUUUGUGUUAUAUACAAAAGACUAAAAAAUACAACACGCCUUGAAAAUUUAAAACGGAACGUCCCUUAUCAAAUGGCAAAAUCGAAAGCUCAAACACAUCAAACGAAUGAAAAACAACUGUCAUAUUCCCGACUUGGUACACGCAUUUCCUUAUGUAGAAAAUAGUGAAUUAAACCUGGUUAUAUAGCUAGCUUAACUUUUAACUUAUGCAACAGUCGUAUACAAUUCCUUUAUAUAUGUGUGUAUAAAAAAUGUAAACAAUAGUACAGCGGUCAAUAUUGUGUUAUAAUCUUAAUUACUAUAAAAAUAAACCAAAUAUGUCAACAAAGAAAAACAAAAUGGCAAAUAGACAAAACCCAAAAGCAGACAUGAAAGAAAAAAAACAAAAAUGACUAUUGCACAGUUACACAUGUUUUGGUCUUUCACCAAUUUACCCCAAUGAGUCAGAGAUGGCAAAUUAGAGUUGAACCUUCAGUGGGUCUCGAACUGCUUUCAAUCUAAUUCUUCAAUUUCGUUCAUUGAAUAAAAACAUUAUAUAGGUCACUGGA